GCGCGAAAACUUUACAAUGCGGGCAACCGUGAUAAGGGAACCUCGAGUGCCUGUAUAUGCAGGCUGUCCAGGUGUCUAAAACACACCUGAAGAAAGGGCCGGGCAAGACCGGUGCCAGCCGCCGCGGUAAUACCGGCGGCUCGAGUGGUGGCCGCUUUUAUUGGGCUUAAAGCGUUCGUAGCUGGGUUGUUAAGUCUCUUGGGAAAUCCGGCGGCUCAACCGUCGGGCGUCUAAGAGAUACUGGCGAUCUUGGAACCGGGAGAGGUGAGGGGUACUUCGGGGGUAGGAGUGAAAUCCUGUAAUCCUCGAGGGACCACCUGUGGCGAAGGCGCCUCACCAGAACGGCUUCGACAGUGAGGGACGAAAGCUGGGGGAGCAAACCGGAUUAGAUACCCGGGUAGUCCCAGUCGUAAACGAUGUGCGUUAGGUGUAUCGACGACCACGAGUCGUCGAGGUGCCGAAGGGAAACCGUGAAACGUACCGCCUGGGAAGUACGGUCGCAAGGCUGAAACUUAAAGGAAUUGGCGGGGGAGCACCGACAACAGGUGGAGCCUGCGGUUU
rnacentral:rRNA from 1 species